rnacentral:rRNA from 1 species
AUUGAACGCUGGCGGCAGGCCUAACACAUGCAAGUCGAGCGGAUGAAGGGAGCUUGCUCCUGGAUUCAGCGGCGGACGGGUGAGUAAUGCCUAGGAAUCUGCCUGGUAGUGGGGGAUAACGUCCGGAAACGGGCGCUAAUACCGCAUACGUCCUGAGGGAGAAAGUGGGGGAUCUUCGGACCUCACGCUAUCAGAUGAGCCUAGGUCGGAUUAGCUAGUUGGUGGGGUAAAGGCCUACCAAGGCGACGAUCCGUAACUGGUCUGAGAGGAUGAUCAGUCACACUGGAACUGAGACACGGUACAGACUACUACGGGAGGCAGCAGUGGGGAAUAUUGGACAAUGGGCGGAAGCCUGAUCCAGCCAUGCCGCGUGUGUGAAGAAGGUCUUCGGAUUGUAAAGCACUUUAAGUUGUGAGGAAGGGCAGUAAGUUAAUAGCUUGCUGUUUUGACGUUACCAACAGAAUAAGCACCGGCUAACUUCGUG